rnacentral:rRNA from 1 species
UGGGGAAUAUUGGACAAUGGGCGCAAGCCUGAUCCAGCAAUACCGCGUGUGUGAAGAAGGCCUUAGGGUUGUAAAGCACUUUCAAUUGGGAGGAAAACCUGCCGGUCAAUACCCGGUAGCUUGACAUUACCUUUAGAAGAAGCACCGGCUAACUCCGUGCC